GGCCCGAUGGUUUAGUGGUAUAAUUCUCGCUUAGGGUCAGCAACCUUAAUUGCGAGAGGUCCCGGGUUCAAUUCCCGGUUGGGCCC
rnacentral:tRNA from 1 species